rnacentral:rRNA from 1 species
UCCUUUUGUUAUUUAUUUAAGGUCUAACCUGCCCAAUGAGGAAUUGAAUGGCCGCAGUAUUUUAACUGUGCUAAGGUAGCAUAAUCAUUUGUCUUUUAAUUGAGGGCUGGAAUGAAGGGUUGGACGAAGUAUUAUCUUUCUUUGAUUUAAUUGUAGGAAUUUAAUUUUUGAGUUAAAAAGCUUAAAUUUAUUUAUUGGACGAGAAGACCCUAUAGAUCUUUAUAAUUUUAUAUUUUGGUAAUUUAGUGAUUUUUUUAUUUGAAGUAAAUGGAUUAUUUUGUUGGGGUGACUGUAGAAUUUGAAUAACUUCUA